rnacentral:lncRNA from 1 species
AACUUGCAAGGUCUUCCACAUCCAAAUGGUGACAUUCUGAGCAUCAAAGCAAUAUUAUGAUGAUAAACAAUAAUAAAUACAGUGAGCUGAAGUAAUUUGAGAAAUAAAAGUCUAUGACUUCCCAUUACUCAACAGAGGAAAAAUUCUUAUACGUGAUACACAUAGGUGGCGAUAAAACAAAUUAAAAAUAUGGUAACAUACAUUUAACUUUGGUUUUAAAGUAGGGCAAUGAAAAUAUCGUUUGUGUUGAUACAACAGGAAUAUAUAGUUGUUUCUGGUAAAAGUAGUAGUAAACUAACAAAUGCCACAAGAAAGUGAAAGUUAAGCAAGUAGUUCCCCAAAAGUAGGAGCUCCACACAGAGCAAGAAAGACUAAUCAGCAUCAACAAUAAUAAGUAUUAACAUGUACUGCAAAUCCAGGUAUGUAAGAAGUAUGAGUCGUAACACAUAGCACCCCAGUAGAGACAGAGCACAACAGUGCAACUCCAAGAUGUUUGAGUUACACGGUGCUCUAAAAUGGAAAGCUAUUCAUGCUAAUUCAGAUUCUCAUAUUUUCUAAAAACUUUUUCUAAAUAAUAAUGAUAAAAUUCAUAUAAAAUAUAUUCUUUUUAAGUAGUGUGAACAGAUCUAAUCAGGUGUUUAAUGUUGGUAAUGAAACUAGAAAAUCAGUCAUUGCAUAGGGAAACAUCAGUUACAAAAGGCAAAACUGGUGUGAUAAUACCCUAAUAUCAUAAAUCAUACCUUUUACUACAAUAAAGAUGUUCAAAGUACUUAUCAAGAGCUAUUAUCUUAAUCCUUUUAGAGAAGCAAUCAAGUCCUAUUUUCCAAAUUAUUAUUAUUAUAAUUAUUAUUAUUAUUAUUAUUUAUGCUGCUGUAUUCUUUUAUUAGCCAAGAAGGACAAAGAACAGGUCACAACAUCACAGGAAGUCAGACGGACAGACGGAUCACAGGACAGAGUCUCAUGCUGCACUACGCAGGAGGCAGGGCAAGGAGGGGGGAAUCUGAGUCUUGAUUUUUUUCAAAUAACAGAAUGAAUAAAUACGGUACACAGUGUUUUUGCCACGGCCUGGCACGACCUCUAAGCACAAAUGGUCACAAAACAGCUGGUUUGGAAAGCAGUCUGUACAGCCCGCCAGCUGCGGAGUCGGGGUGGGGGCCCGGGCCCCUGGACCAUGCUCUGUGGCGGGGGGGGGGGGGGGGGGGGGGUGUGAAGCAGUAGAGAGAUGGAGACCUCAGUAAGAGGGAGAGGUGGGGCCUGAGGCUUUCCUGGAAGGGACAGCCAGAGACAGAGCCUCGGGGUGAGCCUGCAGUCCUGGAGGGGCCCACCCCAAGCCCCUGCCCUGGGACGCCCUCCUGUGGCUCUCUAGCCGCCUGCAGUAACACGUGGUUCUAAUGUUUUAGAAUAGGUUUAUUUUUUUUAAAUAAUAAAUUUAUUUUUUAUUGGUGUUCAAUUUGCCAACAUACAGAAUAACACCCAGUGCUCAUCCUGUCAAGUGUCCCCCUCAGUGCCCGUAGCCCAUUCACCCCCACCCCCCGCCCUCCUCCCCUUCCACCACCCCUAGUUCGUUUCCCAGAGUUAAGAGUCUUUAUGUUCUGUCUCCCUUUCUGAUAUUUCCUACCCAUUUCUUCUCCCUUCCCUUCUAUUCCCUUUCGCUAUUAUUUAUAUUCCCCAAAUGAAUGAGACCAUACACUGUUUGUCCUUCUCCGAUUGACUUACUUCACUCAGCAUAAUACCCUCCAGUUCCAUCCACGUCGAAGCAAAUGGUGGGUAUUUGUCGUUUCUAAUGGCUGAGGAAUAUUCCACUGUAUACAUAUCCACAUCUUCUUUAUCCAUUCAUCUUUCGAUGGACACCGAGGCUUCUUCCACAGUUUGGCUAUUGUGGACAUUGCUGCUAGAAACACCGGGGUGCAGGUGUUCUGGCAUUUCACUGCAUCUGUAUCUUUGGGGUAAAUCCCCAGCAGUGCAAUUGCUGGGUCGUAGGGCAGGUCUAUUUUUAACUCUUUGAGGAGCCUCCACACAGUUUUCCAGAGUGGCUGCACCAGUUCACAUUCCCACCAACAGUGCAAGAGGGUUCCCCUUUCUCCACAUCCUCUGUAAUAUUUGUUGUUUCCUGCCUUGCUAAUUUUCCCCAUUCUCACUGGUGUGAGGUGGUAUCUCAUUGUGGUUUUUUUUUUCAUUGUGGUUUUUUUUUUUGUAUUUCCCUGAUGGCAAGUGAUGCGGACAUUAUAUGGUCUCAUUCAUCUGAGGAAUAUAAAAAAUAGUGAAAGGGAAUAAAGGGGAAAGGAGAAAAAUGAAUGGGAAAUAUCAGAAAGGGAGACAGAACAUGAGAGACUCCUAACUCUGGGAAACAAACUAGGGGUGAUGUAAAGGGAGAUGGGCGGGGGGUGGGAGUGACUGGGUGAUGGGCACUGAGGUGGGCACUUGAUGGGAUGAACACUGGGUGUUAUUAUAUAUGUUGGCAAAUUGAACACCAACAAAAAUUAAAUUUAUAAAAAAAGUAGUUUCUCAGUUGCAUUAGUUAGAUAUACAAGUUUUACCAAAUUAAACACUUUUUAAGUCCACUCCCUAUCUUGCUUCUUGUCUUACUCUGGAUAAUUCACUCUUUCUCAACACUUCAGUUGGAUCAGAAUUGCUUGAUAAGCUGUCCAUAAUUUCUUAUUACAAGGUCUGAUCUUUCAUUACCUUGUUUUUAUUUGGUUGCAGUACUUUUCAUCUCAAAGAGGAGGCCAAGAGGAUACUAUGAAAUGUGGUGCUCAAUCCCAUGGGUUCCAAACAAUUCUUGAUCUCAACCUGGACCACUAAUUUUUCCCAGGUGAUUGAGAUCAAUCACCAUGCCCAGUGAGAGACCUCUUGGAUCAAUGCAUGAGGAGGCCUACAUGGCCAGAGUACAGUCCCUGAUUCCAAAUAAUCAGAGCAUUGAGGGUGCUCCUUUAAGACAUUCUACCCUUGUGCACAUACACUCCAAACAUACUGAGAAUAUUGUGAUGUGUAGGGAAAUUAAAUUCGAGUGGGCCAUUUCAUGUAAUUGUAAGAGGUGCCACAGAGGUCAGAGUUCUACAAAAGGAAGACACUAAGGUGGACUUAGAACUUCAAGGAUUUCGUUAGGGGAAACAGUUGUGUCUGUGUAAGAGAAAAGAGAGAGGCAGCCAGAAGAACAACAAAUGCCACUACACCAUAGGCAAGCAUAGGUACACGUGAAGAAGAGAGGGAAGGAAGAUGGGCAAAAGCAUCCUAGACCAUUGUCCAGUUUAUGGUAAGCUCAGCAAGGUAGGUACUUGAGCCAAAAUUAGCCAUCAAGCCAGUGUCUCAGAGGGAUAGUCCUGCAUUGCUAUCCUUGCUGUGCUCAGUCAUUAGGUAGCAGCAUCUCUGAGCAGCAUGGCCUUGAUACAAAUGGGGAAAUGUGUUUCAAAGCUCAGCAGCUAAGACCUGUGCACAAUUAUACUCACUGUACCUGGAGCUUUGAAAGGCUCACAUUCCUGGCCACCACAGGUACCAUGCCGGCCUUAUCCCCUCAGUUCGUAGACAUGUACGUUCUUCAAACAGAAGAUGGAGCCAUAUAUUGGCUGCCAUUUUAGAGCAUGCAGCAUACUUAGCGGAUAUCUCAACAACCAUGACUGAGAGUUCAUAUACUUUUCUGCGAUUUGUC